rnacentral:rRNA from 1 species
UCCUGACUGACCGAUAGUGAACCAGUACCGUGAGGGAAAGGCGAAAAGAACCCCGGCGAGGGGAGUGAAAAAGAACCUGAAACCGUGUACGUACAAGCAGUGGGAGCACGCUUAGGCGUGUGACUGCGUACCUUUUGUAUAAUGGGUCAGCGACUUAUAUUCUGUAGCAAGGUUAACCGAAUAGGGGAGCCGAAGGGAAACCGAGUCUUAACUGGGCGUUAAGUUGCAGGGUAUAGACCCGAAACCCGGUGAUCUAGCCAUGGGCAGGUUGAAGGUUGGGUAACACUAACUGGAGGACCGAACCGACUAAUGUUGAAAAAUUAGCGGAUGACUUGUGGCUGGGGGUGAAAGGCCAAUCAAACCGGGAGAUAGCUGGUUCUCCCCGAAAGCUAUUUAGGUAGCGCCUCGUGAAUUCAUCUCCGGGGGUAGAGCACUGUUUCGGCAAGGGGGUCAUCCCGACUUACCAACCCGAUGCAAACUGCGAAUACCGGAGAAUGUUAUCACAGGAGACACACGGCGGGUGC